rnacentral:lncRNA from 1 species
GUUCGCACCCCGUUUAUUUAUCAGCAGACUUAUGACGUCGGCGGUCGAUUUACGUCACGGGACAUGACGUCAUCACUGCAAGCUACGUGCUACGUGAAAGAGACAUAUAUGAUGCUGUACUGACAUUGGUGGCGCACAUCAACAAAUGCUCUCCGCACUGUUUUGUGUGUUUAUUGUUUCACAUAGGUGAUUUAUCGCUGCUUAGGGCCAGCGGCCCAUCGGACAGUCUUGAGAAGACCGCCGCACGCUGUUUGCAGUCCGUCGACCACCUGUCUUCAACGGACGGACGCCCUCGGUCCCACUCAGCAAUUGACUGAAGCCUAUCGCGCCGAUAUGCUCGCUCAUCUUCCAUCCUCGCCCUGCCUGAUUGUUUCGACGACCCGGGCUGUGGUCCCUGAGGUUCGGAACCCGUCUCGCUGGCCUGCCAGCAGGAGGCCUGGCGCUCGUCGCAGACGAGCGCUGCAGUGUGGCCA